UACGGAGGGUGCAAGCGUUGUCCGGAUUUACUGGGCGUAAAGGGCGCGUAGGCGGGCUCUUAAGUCAGAUGUGAAAGACCUGGGCUUAACCGAGGGAUUGCAUUUGAGACUGGGAGUCUAGAGUAUGGGAGAGGAAAGCGGAAUUUCCAGUGUAGCGGUGAAAUGCGUAGAGAUUGGAAAGAACACCAGUGGCGAAGGCGGCUUCCUGGCCUACUACUGACGCUGAGGCGCGAAAGCAUGGGUAGCGAACAGG
rnacentral:misc_RNA from 1 species